UACGUAGGCAGCAAGCGUUGUUCGGAAUUACUGGGCGUAAAGAGUGUGUAGGCGGUGCUCUAAGUUCGUUGUGAAAUCUCCCGGCUUAACUGGGAGGGUGCGGCGGAAACUGGAGUGCUUGAGCGCGGGAGAGGAAAGCGGAAUUCCUGGUGUAGCGGUGAAAUGCGUAGAUAUCAGGAGGAACACCGAUGGCGAAGGCAGGUCUCUGGGCAUUAACUGACGCUGAGGAGCGAAAGCAUGGGGAGCGAACAGG
rnacentral:rRNA from 1 species